GCCGCCUCUGCCUCCGCCUUAGCCGCACGCUCCUCCUGCUGCCGCCUUGCUAGCUUCCCUCGUCCCUUUCUCCCUCUGCGGGCGCUCCCCGGACCUCGCGCCCAACCUCCAGAGGGCCGGGGCGCUGCAGACGCAGGGAUAAGCCUGUCACUGCAGAUAGCAGGUCCGGGGGAAGCAGCACGGGCUUCCUGGCGGAGGUGACUGGCCGAUCUGGGGUAGAGAAAUGUCUAGGAGAGCCAGGGCAGGAGGGAAGAUGAUAUGGUAGGGUGCACAGACCUGCGCGGCAUGUGCAGGAGACAAAGGCUAGCUAGGGCACCGAGAUGUUCGCAGUAAGCGAGAAGCUGGGGUGCAGGUCAGUAUCCCUGCGUCAGUCAUCGCGGGGGGGCGGAUAUGGAGGCGCUUUCUGUGCCCACGUUGCACCCUCUGAUUACCCGCAGGGAGGUGAGGCGCACAGACUGUUCAUUCACCCAGACUCAGAACUUUGCACCCGCCAGGCCAGAGAGGCAGACAAAUAGGCAACGUCAACCUGACUGAUGCAGGAAGGUGAACUGAGACUGUGUAUCCACAGAAGGAAUGCGUCAUCCCGGCCGCUAGGGGUCGCUUACCCGGGCUCGCCCACGCCUCUGCAUGUGAAAGCGCGCCAUCUCGUCGGAGUUGCAGCCCCACUCCAUUACCUCCAAGUUGGGGGUGUAGGAGCAGAGGCAGGACUCGACUCCGGCCUCCUGUGCGCUGGUACAACCACAAACCUUCUUUAGGUUCGAAAGUGUUGCGUGGGCCUCCAAACAGGACCAGCUUGUAGGUGCCAAGGCUCACUGUUAGUCUGCCUCCUCUCCCCUCUGGCUUUCUCCCCAGAUGAACGUGGAUGCUGUUCGCCCUAGACCACCUGGAAACCAACCUGUCUCAGCAGCCUCCAAGCCCCCACGACUUCCUCCAAAGGGCUGCCCAGAAGACCUAGCGUGUUCUUGCCAUUAGCCCUUCUAUGUCUUGAUCACUGUGUCUCUCCACAAGCACAUUCCAGCCCUGCGCUGGGCCUGAGAGUGCUAAGGUGAAUCAGGCACGGUGCCAGCCCCAGGGAGGCCCUACCUGGUGGGGAGACAGAUGGUCAACGGACAGAUGAGGAAAUGUCAGCGGAAAUAUAUGAGGCCCUAGUAUGAGUCAGCACUGUUCAAAGCUGGAGGAUGUGCAGAACAGGCAAGGCCCACGCCUGCCUUCCUGCAGCAUAUCACUACUUUGGGAGACAAAGCACGUCACCUGCUGUGUGAGUUUUUUUUCGGUGGCUGGCAGGAGGACUCAGGUUUUCACGAGGUAGAGCUCCCCAUAGACUGCUUGAGCGUCUUCAUGACCUGGCAGCUGGCUUUCCUCAGGACAGUUGAUCCAACCGAGAAGGUCAGCCCUUUUUUGCACAGGCGGGGACCACACAGGAGUAUGACUACCAGGAAGCCAAGUCCCUGGGAACUGUGUUGCAGCCUGGCUGCCACAUCAUGUCCUAGAAUGUGUAAGGAACAAGGUCAGUGCAUAUAAAGUCCUUCGAAAGCUUUUCAGCACGCAUGUAAGUUUUCACUCUUGUCAUGAUCUGUGUUUCUAGCAUGGUCAUAGGCUCUCCUGCAGGACUUUCUAUGAGGGUCGAUCCUUAUGAUCUGUAAUCACAAGCACCAUUAUACAGAGGAAGCCAGGAUUUUACACAGCAGCAGGGCGAGCCCAGCCUCGUUUUCUUGCAUCUUGGCCACGUGCUCUCAGAUAGCUGGGCUCGCAGCUCUACUGACUUUCUCCAGGACGUGGGGUGGGUCCCGCUUCCCUCUCCUUCUCCCUCUCUCUUCUGCUCCAGGAUUGGGGUCCUGAGUCCAAACCCAAGGGAUUAAACCAGGUCAGCGCUUCUGUGUCUCCAGUCCUUCCCAUCCUACCUGAAUGCUGCCUCCAUUUCCACUGUGUCUUCUGCUGUCACCCAAGUGCAGUUGUCCCUCGGUGUCUCAGGGGGUUUGGUCCCAGCCUCCCUUCUCAGGGACGUUAAAAUCUAUGGAUGCUACUGCCCAUUGCGGCCAGUGCUGUAGUGCUUGUGUAUGACUUUUGUGCAUCUUACUUUAAAGCAUCUCUGGAGAAUGCCUAAUAUGAUGUGAAUGCCUUGUAAAUAGUUAUUGUACAUAUUGUUUAGGGAAUAAUGACAGGGGACAAGUUUGUGCAUAGUCAUUAAGGCACAAUUUUUCUUUUAGUAUUUUCUAUCCAUGGUUGGUUGAAUCUGAGAAUGUGGAACCCAUGGAUAUGAAGGACUGACUGUAUUUUUCUUAAAUCCUUUCAUUUAAUGAACUUGGCUUCAUCCUAAGCAAUACACUAGUUGCAUUUUUGCAAUAUGCUUUAAAAUGACUGUGGCGGGCUGGGGAUUUAGCUCAGCGGCAUAAGCGCCUGCCUUGCAAGUGUGUGGUCGUAAGUUCGAUCCCCAGUACCAAUAAAAAAGAAAAAGACAAAAAAAAAAAAAAAUGACUGUGGCUAUGCAAGGAAACAGUGGACCUCUGCCCCCGCUGUGUCUACUUUCUCUAAGGGUUACCAGCUCGGUGUUCUGGGGAAAAGAGUGGUGGGCAGGAGCUCUGAGCCCUCCGCUUAUGCCGUCAGGUGACCCAGAGUUGGCCUAGGCCCCAUGUGCACGCAGCCUGUGACGUGGAGCCUUCCAGGGAAGGCUGAGCAGUUUUCUGUUUGCAUUGGGUUUGGAUUAGUGUUUGCUUUUUUUUUGUUUUAAAUCAAAGUGUUACUCGAGAUAGUCUAGAAAAUCUUCUAAGAAACUUAACUCAUUCACUCCGCACCUCCGUUGCUCUCUCCCAGAGGCAACUGCUGUCAACCCUUAGCAGAGUUUCUUGGUACAUAACGUACGUAUCUCUGUGAAAUUAAGUAACACACUUCAUCUGAUUCUUGAUCUUCAAUUUUAGAUGCUAUCUUUUGGCAUCCCACUAUGAAGAUGACGAGCACUUAGCUCUGUCACACACACGCUCCAACACCCCGAACCCGGGCACAUUCAGAGACACACGUGCUCAGGGAGUCAAACUCUCACCUUCCUCCUACCUAAUAUGAUUUCGACUAAGGAUUUUAACAAGUUUCUUCAUUCAUUUAGCUGGUAAGAUAUUUUUCCCACUCUGUAGGUUGUCUCUUCACUCAUUUCUUUGGCUGCACAGUUUUUAAAUUUGAUGCAGCCCCACUUGUUGAUUCUCAGUAAUACUCCCAGUGCAAGCUGGAUUCUAUUCAAAGAGUCCUUGCCUGAAACUUCAAGAGAAUUGUCUAUUUUCUCUUCAGGCGGGUUAAGUGUUUCUACUUUAACAUUUAGAUAUUUGAUCCAUUUUCAAUUUUAGUUUAACACACAAGUGAGAUACCAAUCUACACUCAAUCUACUGCCUGUGGAUAGUGAGUUUUCCCAGUACCAUUUAUUAAAGAGACUAUCUUUCCUCCAGUGUAUGUUUUUGGUGCCUUUGUCAAAGAUCAAAUAGUUGAAUGUGCUUGGGAUUGUUUCUCCUCUGUUCUAUUCCAUUGAUCCUCUUGUCUGUGUUUGUGCUGAUGCCAUGCUGUUUUUAUCAUGGUAGUUUAGUAAUACAGCUUUAAGUCCAGGAUUGUGAUACCUCCCACUUUAUUCUUUUUUACCCAGGGUUACUUUUGAUAUUCUUGAUCUCUUCUGGGUCUAUAUGAAUUUUAGGAUUGUCUUUUCUAGUUAUAUGAAUAUUUGAUUGAUAUUUUGGUUGGAAUUGUUUUAAAUCUAUAUAUCAGUUUUGAAAGUAUGGCCAUUUUGAUUUUAUUAGUUUUGUGUAUCCAAGAACAGGGGAUAACUUUCCAUUUUUUCUGAUGUCCUCUUCAAUCUUCUUUCCCCUAUGGUACUGUAGUUUUCAUAAUAGAAAUAUUUUACUCUUCAUUUAGCUUAAUUCCCAAGUAUGUAAUUUUUCUUGACAUUGUUAUGAAUGGUACCUCCCCCCCUAGUUUCUUUCUCCAUGAGUUCUUUAUUGGUGUACAAGAACACUAUAGAUUUUUGUGUGUUGAUGUAUCUUUUUCCUGGUACUGAGAAUCCAACCCAGAGCCUCGCACUUGCCAGCAGGUGCUGUGCUGCUAAGCUACAUCCCAGCCCUGUGUGUCAAUAAUGUAUCCUGCUACACUGGUAGAUUUGGUUAUUAAUUCUAUUAAUUCUAGGGGUCUUGUGGUGGAUUUUUUGGGGGGAGUUUUCUACGUAGAGAAUCAUGUUCAUGUACAAAUAAUGAUGAUUUGACUUCUUCCUUUCCAUACAGAUCCUUUUUAUUUCUCUUUCUGGCCUCAUUGCUCUUGCCAAUGUUUUGAGUACUCUGUUGAACAGCACGGGUGACAGUGGACAUCUUUGACUUUUCCUGAUUUUAGAGAGGAAGUUUUCGUUUCUCCUCACUUAGUAUGAUGUUGGCAGUAGGUUUGCCUUAAAUAACUCUUAUUAUCUUAUUAGAUAAUUUUUAUACCUGUUAUCAUCAGUAUUUUUAUCAUAAAUGGAUGUUGGAUUUUGUCAAAGUUUUUUUCUGCAUCUAUUGAAAUGAUCUUGUAAUUUUUGUCCUUGUUUAUCUGACGCAUUGUAUUUGUUGAUUUGGUUGAAGCAUUCUUGCAUCUCUGGAAUGAAGAUACUUGAUCAUGAUGUAUAAUUUUUUUGAUGAUUUGCUGCAUGGUUUCCCAGGAUCUUUUUUUUUUUUUUUUAAUUUAAGGAGAAAAGAAAAAGAAAAGCGGGGAAAGGGUACAAGUCAUACAGAUUUACAGAAAAAAAUAAACAGUAGGAAAUCACUAGUUAAUGGAUUACAUAUUGUCAUCUUAGAAAUAAUUGUUCAAGUCACUAAAUUAAAGCUUGUAAAGUGGACAUUCCAUCAAUGAUACUGCAAACAGUUCUGUUCAUUGAUCCAAUAAAACUCUGUGAUAUCA